UUGCUAUCUGAAUGUAGCUGUGCUGCUAAAUAUAUUUAAUAAUUUUUAUUAUUCGUCUUCUUAUCAUUAUGUCAAAGAUGCAAGCCAGUGUUGAAGCCUUCCUCAUUGCCGUGCAACCAGGACAGCCUUCCUCCUGCAUGUUGGUGAAAACAAAAGCAGCACCAAAGACACUUCACCAUCAGUGAUCACAAGAUCAUCCAAGGUAGCUUUUGAUGAACUUCCAAAGCACACUUCACCUUCAGUGCAAAGUACCAUGAAUUCCUCUACAACUUCUGUAAAUUAAUCCAGCCUACAGUUUUCAACAUUGAUGUGACUUGCACAACAAUUGAGGAGUUAAGAUCCUUGCUUUUACUUUACCUGGCAGAGUGGACACUCUAUAUUAUGAUGAUCAUUUAAAUGCAUACUGUAUCAAUAAGAGGAUUUGUUUUAUGUUCUUCCAAUUAAGGACUUGGUUUAUUACAGUCCCUGUGGCAAGCAGCUCUCUGCAUGGUCAGCAUUGAAGGCCAUAUUGUCUUUGAGAGGGUCCAGCCAACAUUCCAGACAGGACAGUGUUAUCCAUCUUCUUCAUCUUCAACCUCCAAUAUCAACAUGAGACGGCCAAGACUUUGGAGUUCAUUCAACGUCGCUUCAUUGGGAUUAACCCAGAAAGGGGCACAAAAGCCGGUCAUGGGAAGAUGGUAUCCAAAAAGACAGGAAAGGCCAUUCAAAGGAAAAAGUGACAGUCAAUGUUCAGGUUUCCACCUUCAUCAAAAAACUGAUGGACUUUGAGUGGCAUCUCAUUUAGGUUAGCUGUUCUUUUCUUUCCUUUGAAAUCUUUCUGUUUCCAUAUUAUUUAGGAUCUAAAUUGUAUUGUCUUUUCUUUUUCCAUGUUUGACGGUGCCUUCAUCUGCAUCUAAUAAAGUGCCACUUGGACUCUUGAAAACCAUUAAUAGUUCACAUUUUAAAACCUUGUUGAUACUAGAAUUCCACAUUAUUUCAGCCAUGUUGAAUUUUAGAUUUUGGAAGUCAUUUUUCUUUGAUUUGUUUAGUGAUACCCACAGCAUGGAUAUUUCUUUAAGAACUGUGUUUUUAUGUUCAUAAGAUUGUAGAAAUUAAUAAGUUAAACCCAGUUUAUGUCACUGUAAACUGAAAGUCUUCAAUUUUUAUUCCAGUGUUAGUGAAACUAUAUAUUGACUUUGAAGGCCUAUUUUUUUACCAGUUCUCUGAGGAAUGGUUUUGUGUUAUUUGUUUUGAACGUUUGAAUAUACUGGAAAUAUGUGGUUUGAGGCAUAGUGGUGCCUUUAAAUAAAAAUUCUGUUCUGAUGGUUA